rnacentral:tRNA from 1 species
GGGCGAUUAGCUCAGUUGGUUAGAGCUCCUGACUUACAUUCAGGCGGCCGAGGGUUCGAGUCCUUCAUCGCCCA